rnacentral:rRNA from 1 species
UACGUAGGGGGCGAGCGUUAAUCGGAAUUACUGGGCGUAAAGCGUGCGCAGGCGGUCUUUUAAGUCAGAUGUGAAAUCCCCGGGCUUAACCUGGGAACUGCGUUUGAAACUGGAAGGCUUGAGUGUGGCAGAGGGGGGUGGAAUUCCACGUGUAGCAGUGAAAUGCGUAGAGAUGUGGAGGAACACCGAUGGCGAAGGCAGCCCCCUGGGCUAACACUGACGCUCAUGCACGAAAGCGUGGGGAGCAAACAGG